CUGGAAAACAGCCAAGGUCCCUCUGAAGAAAAAAUACUUUAGGAAGCAUAUUCUGGUCUGCAUGGUCUCCAUGGGAGCAUCUUGGCUGGGGACUGCGAUGUGAUGGUCUCUGUGGUGAGACUGCAGUCAGUGUCAGCUGUGGCUGAUGUCUUCUGAAUGCCAGACUGAGGCUGGAGGAGCCACCUUCAGGUGGAACACCCUCAUGGAUGGCAGAAAUUAUGGAACAGCUGGUUACAUGACAAUUUGCAAUAUUGGCAUCUUAUAUAAAGAGCCAAUUCAAGAACAAUGUUGCUCUGAUUCUGACCUAUGUUCCUGUUUAUGAACCUGGGAAGGCAGAUGAAGCUGGCUCAAGAGAUGACCUGCAUGGAAUUACUGGGUCCUGGCAUUGGCCUAUACUGGACCUGGAUUUUGGCCAUCUGAGGAGUGAAGCAAUACAUAAAACUGCUCUUUUUCUCUACCUCCCUCUCCCUAUAUCAUUUGGUCACUCCUUCCCUCUGCUCCACCUUUCAAAGAAAAAUUAAUAACUAUUUUUUCA